rnacentral:piRNA from 1 species
AAGGCUUGUUGAUGUAGCUUAAUGGUAGAGU